rnacentral:rRNA from 2 species
UUCGGGCGUGUGCAUCUCAAUUGGACCUGAUAUCAGGCAAGAUUACCCGCUGAACUUAAGCAUAUCAUAAG